UCCAGAGAACUGAGAAGGUUUAUAGUCCUGUGACUUCAACACUGCAGGACUCACAUCUGUCAGUCAACACAGCAGAAAGCACAACCACCAUGACUCUCAUCACCAUCCUCAUCUGGACGCUGACCUGCUGCUGUUUUACAGGAUGCAGCGGUCAGGUGACUGUGACUCAACCUCCAGCAGUGACAUUUACUCCUGGAUCUACUGUCACCCUGACCUGUAGGACCAACCAAGCUGUUGGUGGCUGUGGUGCUGGUCAGUGUAUGUUCUGGUAUCAACAGAAAUCUGGACAAACUCCAAAGCUCCUAAUUCGACAUGUGAGCAUAAGACAUUCAGGAACACCAACUCGAUUUAGUGGCAGUGGAAGCAGCUCUGACUUCUCUAUGACCAUCAGUGGAGUUCAGGCUGAAGAUGCAGCAGUUUACUACUGUAAGAGUGUGCAUAGCGGGCCAGUGUUCACACAGUGAUUUGUAGUCAUACAA